rnacentral:rRNA from 1 species
CAGAGGGUGCAAGCGUUGUUCGGAAUUAUUGGGCGUAAAGCGCGUGUAGGCGGCUUAGCAAGUCGGGCGUGAAAGCCCUCGGCUCAACCGAGGAAGUGCACCCGAAACUGCUGAGCUUGAGUGCCGGAGAGGAUGGCGGAAUUCCCCAAGUAGAGGUGAAAUUCGUAGAUAUGGGGAGGAACACCGGUGGCGAAGGCGGCCAUCUGGACGGUAACUGACGCUGAGACGCGAAAGCGUGGGUAGCAAACAGGAUUAGAUACCCUGGUAGUCCACGCCGUAAACGAUGAGAACUAGACGUCGCGGGUGUUGACCCCUGCGGUGUCGCAGCUAACGCAUUAAGUUCUCCGCCUGGGAAGUACGGUCGCAAGAUUA